AAACUUUCAACAACGGAUCUCUUGGUUCUGGCAUCGAUGAAGAACGCAGCGA
rnacentral:rRNA from 1 species